GCAGCAGGCGCAGCUUCCAGCGCGCAAUCAGGGCGCAGCGUGGGGACCCGAGCGCUGCGGUCCCGCCACUCAGCCCGGGCUGGGGGCACCGCCGGGCCAACUGGGUGCAAGAAAAAAGGAGGAAAGCAACGUGAUCCGGGUCAAACAAAAGAAUCCGAGGACGGGGAGGGGGGAGGGCGACUACCUGUUGAAAGGAGCGUUCCAAGAGCCCUGCGCGCACACACGCAAACUUGGCCUGCCUUUGAUGUGCUGCAACUGAUCACCGAUCAGAUUACGGGCAUUUCAUCUCGCUGCUCGUCUGCCUUUGAUCUGCAGGGUUCUUCUUCUUCUCCUGGAUUGGAAGAUUCGUCUGGGCUUGCGCUGACAUACAUUUUGGGGAAGGUAGAGCUUUUGGCCCAGAAGCGCUGCCAGGGAGAAGCUCAGCUGCCGAAAAGGAGCUCUUCAACCAGAAAUACAUUUAACGAGAGCAAUGGCUUUCAAAGUGCUACUAGAACAACAGAAAGCAUUUUGCACGGUUGUAGUUUUACUAGCCUGUUUGGCAUGUAGAGUGAUGUGUGAAACAGGAGACUGUGGACAACAGGAAUUCAGGAAUCAGUCAGGAAACUGUGUUCUCUGCAAGCAGUGUGGGCCAGGCAUGGAGUUGUCCAAGGAAUGUGGCUUUGGCUACGGGGAGGAUGCCCAGUGUGUGAGGUGCUGGCCGCACAGGUUCAAGGAGGACUGGGGCUUUCAGAAGUGCAAGCCGUGCCUGGACUGCGCCCUGCUGAGCCGCCUCCAGAAGGCCAACUGCUCUGCCACCCGCGACGCCAUCUGUGGGGACUGCCUGCCCGGAUUUUACAGGAAGACCAAACUUGUUGGUUUUCAAGACAUGGAGUGUGUGCCUUGCGGAGACCCGCCGCCCCCCUACGAGCCACACUGUACCAGCAAGGUCAACCUGGUGAGGAUCCCGUCCACAGCCUCCAGCCCACGGGACACGGCCCUGGCUGCCGUGAUCUGCAGCGCCCUGGCCACCGUCCUGCUGGCCCUGCUCAUCCUCUGCGUCAUAUACUGUAAGCGGCAGUUUAUGGAGAAGAAACCCAGCUGGUCCCUGAGGGCACAGGACCUGCAGUACAACGGUUCUGAACUGUCCUGUUUCGACAGACCUCGGCUCAGCGGCCCUGCGCCCCACGCCUGUUGUGAGUGCCACCGGGACUCGGCCCAGACCUGUGGGCCCGUGCAUCUCAUCCCGUCCCCGUGCUGUGACGGGGCCUGCAGCGUCGGCCGGGAGACUCCUGCUUGUAGGGUGCACUCCAAGGCCAUUCUUCAGGACAGAGACACAGGUCCAGCGGGGGAAGCAGUGCCGACUUUCUUUGGGUCCCUUUCGAGGUCCAUCUGUGGCGAGUUUUCGGACGCCUGGCCGCUGAUGCAAAAUCCCAGCUGUGGUGACGACAUCUCUUCUUGCGCUUCUUAUCCUGAGCUCCCUGGAGAAGACGUUCACUCUCUCAAUCCAGAGAGUGCAAGUUCAGCAUCCUUGGACUCAAACAGUAGUCGGGGUCUGGUGGGCGGAGCAGUUCCAGUUCAAGCUCACCCUGAAAGCUUUACAGAAACUACUGAUUUAUCGAGACUCAACAACUCAGUGUCAGAACCAGCGCUAACUCAGGACGCGCUCGCCGCCAGAAAUCAGCUGGCUCAGGAGAGAGGAGGUGCCCAUCAGCUGGCCACUCAGCCGUCACCCCAGGAGGCCGAAAGGACUUGCUUCUUUCUGCAAUGAAGUGUCGUAUGGAGCCCAAAGGGCAGCCACUCCUCUGCUUAUGGACUCAGCACCGUCUGGACCUCGCAUGGCUUCUGGGGGAAGAAAGUAAAUCUGAACCACACUGAUGGCAUUUUAAGCCUUUCAACCAGUUGCUUCUGAGCCAGACCAGCUGUAAGCUGAGACCUCAAGGAAUACACUCCAAGCACUUCUGAGACUUUGCAUCUUUCCUACACAAGAAGCUUCUACGCUACAGGCUGACUUCAGAGACUGACGGGCCAAGUUUGCAGCCACCGAGCUUAGGGGCUUUAGAAAUGACAACAUAUCAGGUUUCCCUGCUACUGAAGCAUAACACCAGGUGAGUAGCCUUAGGAGACUCUGCAUAUUAGGACCAGAAGAAAAAGCACAGCUUGUAGGCAGCGUUUAGGUGAAUGGAUUAUAACUGCCAUACGGGGCUCCCACCAAUCUCCUAAGCUUCUUCAGCACAGUAAUUCCCACCGUAGCCCAACGGCGCUGGACUUAAGAGUCUGGUGCUUCUAUGAAGGCGAUCCAUCCCCUACCACCUUGGUAUUUACCGACUAGAAUUAGCUCUAGAGCUGAGACAGAAAUAACCCCGCUCAGUCAUGAACCAGGGGAUGGCUCGUUGGCUCGCCUCUGCGCCCUGGAGAGGAAUUACUUGAGCAGAAUUUAUUUUUUUCCUGCUUGAACAUACGUGAUCAGCUCUGGCUGUUGUCUUUUAAGUGAUUACUAUUAGCUCUGUCCCAUUUGCACUUAAAAAAGAAAUAGACCUUUGAACAUCCCUGUGUUAGAGAAUGCUGAGAUAUUUUGUUUCCAGAUCAGUCUUCUACCUGACAUUUAAAGUGAGCAUUAGAGGGUAUUCCUGGGCAGUCCAGUGGUUAGGAUUCAGCACUUUCACUGCCGAGGGCCUGGGUUCAAUCCCUGGUCAGGGAAUUAAGAUCCCGCAAUAGAAAUCUGCCUUUUCCAAGGACAUUUUUAUCUUCCCUCUUAUUGCCCCGUGCUUUGCUCUCUUGCAGUAGUGAGCUCUCACGAGGCCUUUUCCUCGUGCUGGGACUGUCCCUCCAUCUGCAGCUCAGGAUCCCUGUGCGGACAUGAGCUCACGGUAUGUCGUGCACGUGACCUCCGUGCCUUUGACUGAAAUGGGAAAUUAGAGGGUCUCAUGGUAAGGCACAGCCUUUCCUGUCUACCUGGUGUCUAGUCAUAGUUGAUUGACUUUCUUUUUCUCUUCCUUUUUUAGCCUAAACCAAUGGUUCCUAAGCUCGGGUACUCACCAACUCUUCUGAGACUUGCCCUUAGGAAAUAUAUGUAAGGUAUUUAGGACCUGAUCACAAGAGGUCCACGAAAAUGCAAGUUUCACUGUAAGUCACAUGUGUGCCGUUCGUAGUUUGUAAUCUGAUCACUUUUGUGGUGACAGAGGGGUGAUCCAAGUAGGCCAGGGCUGUGCUCCUUUUUGUAACCCGAGUAUAUUUUCCACACGUAGAGCCCUCUUCAACUUCAAAGGCAAAAACCCUUGCAGGAGAAAGCUGAGAUUGAUGGGAAUGAGACUUUGGACGCAAAUCCUGAAACAUCACUUUUGAUCAAUAGAGAAACACUUAGGGUUAAAAAAUUGAUCUCAUUGGAUUCUGCAUUUGAAAAAUCCUGGAUUAUUUUGUUGUGGACCAUUUUUAAAGUCUUUAUUGAACUUGUUACAAUAUUGCUUCUGUUUUAUGUUUGGGGGUUUUUUGACCCCAAGGCAUGUGGGAUCUUAGCUCCCUGACCAGGGAUCGAACCCACACCUCCUGAAUUGUAAGGCGAAGUCGUAACCACUGGACCGCCAGGGAAGUCCCGAUCCUGGGUUAUUUUUAUCCAGAGGAAGACAGUUUACUACCAUGUGCUAUGGAAGCAUACAAUGAUGUUAUAGUCUGCACUCUUUGUCAAUGCUGUAGAGGACAAUCCAGUUGGCAUUUCAUGUCAAUAUCCUGCAGAACUCAGCUGCUAGGGUGCUGAUGCCAGGAACCGCCAUCAGCUAAUAACAGGGCUGGGAGUGCAGGUGCUCGAGACUUCCGGCACUGCAGAAGCUCACUGACAAGGAUGAGACCAGGGUUGGAGAACAAGCACAUAAAGGCGUGGGGUUUUCUAAUCUUGUGUGUAUGGAAUGUAUUUUUCAAAUGUAGAUUUUUCUACUUUAGUUAAAGUGUAAUGUUGCCGUUACCUAGGUUAAGCACUAUUGUCUGUGCUAGUAAAAAAAAAAAAUAGAAAAGGAAAAACUAUCCAUCAUUGCUUUAAGGCAGUCAGCUUGCAUCAGUUUAGACCCCAUCAUGACUGUUUUGCAUACUGGAAUUGAUACAUUUGUAAAUGUUGGUUUUCUUACGUAACUAGUUUUGUAAGACCUUUUUUUUAUUUGUGAAUAAAAUUGUU